UUGUGCGAAGAGGUGGCACGCCGAAACGUGCCACUUCCAGGUAAGUUAUUGUCUCCUGUUAAUUGUUCGAAUUUCUGGCGAAGCGAGAAUUUUUCCUGGAAACGGAGGUUUGUAUUAGGAUCACAUGUUGUGCGAAGAGGUGGCACGCCGAAACGUGCCACUUCCAGGUAAGUUAUUGUCUCCUGUUAAUUGUUCGAAUUUCUGGCGAAGCGAGAAUUUUUCCUGGAAACGGAGAUUUGUAUUAGGAUCACAUGUUGUGCGAAGAGGUGGCACGCCGAAACGUGCCACUUCCAGGUAAGUUAUUGUCUCCUGUUAAUUGUUCGAAUUUCUGGCGAAGCGAG